GGAGAAGCUGGAGCUGAAGGACCUCCUGGGAAAACUGGCCCGGUCGGACCUCAGGGUCCUUCUGGAAAGCCUGGUCCAGAAGGUCUUCGAGGCAUCCCUGGUCCUGUGGGAGAACAAGGUCUCCCCGGUGCUGCUGGCCAAGAUGGACCCCCUGGUCCUCUGGGACCUCCUGGUUUACCUGGUCUCAAAGGUGAUCCUGGCUCCAAGGGUGAAAAGGGACAUCCUGGUUUAAUUGGAUUGAUUGGCCCUCCAGGAGAACAAGGGGAAAAGGGUGACAGAGGACUUCCUGGGACUCAAGGUUCUCCAGGAGCCAAAGGUGAUGGGGGCAUCCCAGGUCCUGCUGGUCCCAUAGGUCCUCCUGGUCCUCCAGGAUUACCAGGUCCUGCUGGUCCGAAGGGUAACAAAGGAUCUUCUGGACCUACUGGCCAGAAGGGUGACAGUGGUAUGCCAGGACCUCCUGGGCCUCCAGGUCCUCCUGGAGAAGUCAUACAGCCAUUACCUAUUUUGUCACCGAAGAAAACAAGAAGACACACUGAAAGCAUCCAGGCCGACGCAGGUGAUAAUAUUCUUGACUACUCAGAUGGCAUGGAGGAAAUAUUUGGUUCCCUCAAUUCUCUGAAACAAGACAUUGAACACAUGAAGUUUCCCAUGGGUACACAGACCAACCCAGCACGAACAUGCAAAGACCUGCAGCUCAGCCACCCCGACUUCCCAGAUGGUGAAUAUUGGAUUGAUCCUAACCAAGGCUGCUCAGGUGAUUCCUUCAAAGUUUACUGUAAUUUCACAGCUGGUGGUGAGACGUGCAUCUAUCCAGACAAAAAAUCUGAGGGAGUAAGACUUUCAUCUUGGCCGAAGGAGAAACCAGGAAGUUGGUACAGUGAAUUUAAGAGAGGAAAACUGCUUUCCUAUUUAGAUGUGGAAGGCAAUUCCAUCAAUAUGGUACAAAUGACAUUCCUGAAACUCCUGACUGCCUCUGCCAGACAAAACUUCACCUACAAUUGCCACCAGUCAACUGCUUGGUAUGACGUCUUAUCAGGAAGUUAUGACAAAGCACUUCGGUUUCUGGGAUCUAAUGAUGAGGAAAUGUCCUACGAGAACAACCCACACAUCAAAGCUUUGUAUGACGGCUGUGCGUCCCGAAAAGGCUAUGAAAAGACAGUGAUUGAGAUCAAUACUCCGAAAAUUGAUCAAGUACCCAUCAUUGAUGUAAUGAUCAAUGAUUUUGGUGAUCAGAAUCAGAAGUUUGGAUUUGAAGUUGGUCCAGCUUGCUUUCUUGGCUAAGAUUAGGAUGAAGACCAUAUGAAACCAACAGAAAAAAUACCUUGGUGCCGCCAAUCCAUUUUAUGCCACAUGCAAGUUUUGAAUAAGGACGGUAUAGGAAACCUGUUUAGGAAUCACUGAUGCCUGACGGAGGCACAGUCCAAGGAAAGAAGUUCUGGUAGUCAUAACCAUGUAAGGUAGUGGCUGAGAUGGCAACAGGGCUCAUUCUUGAUUCUCAACCCUCAUCUCUCCUUUUCCUAUUUGGAUUUUGUUGGUGCUGUAGAAAACAAAAAGAGAGAAAAUAUAUAUUCGUAAAAAAAAAUGGUGCUCAUUCCCAUCCAUCAAAGAUAUAGUAAAAGUGUCUUUAAUAAAUUGUAAUUAUUUUAUGUACAGUUCUACACUGUCUUCCCUGUGUCCAUUUCCAAAACUUGCACGUGACUCUGAAUCCCACCUAUCUCGAAUUUUGUGACAGUUGUGCAACUGUGAUGACAAUAAAUAUUGUGAUACAAAAUCUCAAGUUGUAUUUCUGCAGACUCUAAUUGCCUUUCUUUGAUUGAUAAUAAAAUGCCUUUGUAUGUGUUGAUGUUGAAGAGUUCAGUUAUUUGAUGUCAUUGACGAAUUUCACAGUGGUCAAACCCAGACACGCCCAUCAUCCCUGUUCUGCUAAGAGUAACUUUUUGAGUUUCAGCAAGAAAUGUCACGCAUUUUAAAAAUUAAUUAAGUGCUAUACCUCGAAAAUUUUCUUCUCAGAACCCAGACUUCACCAAAUACUUGUAUAUAUGGAAAACAAGAAAAUUUAUAUUUUUGGACAGGAAAGUAUGUAUGAGAAACUGUUUUUAACAUCCACCCAGGAAUUAAGUUUUUGUACAAUUAUUUCUCUACCUAAUCUUUCAUUGCCUUCAGUGUGCUUCAGUAAUGCAAACUGAUAUUAAAGAUGGAAAAUAAGCAAUUGUUUAUGAAUUUGUGCAAUGUUAGGUUUUUAACAAUGGACUUUUAAAAUCUGAUACAAGUGGCAUAGUCCAAAAUAUUAUUUUACUUGCCCAAUGAAUACAGUUCCUUUAUUUUAAAGUAAUUAUUUUCAACAUCUGACCAACCUAGUAGCUAAAUACAUAGGGUGGACUGUUUCAAAAGUCAUAUUUGCUCAAGACAAUCAAUUCCUCUCUUUUUUUCCACUAAGGUAUUUUUCUUUAACAUACCUUGGAGUAGCAAUAAAAUUUUAAAAUCACCAACUGAAUUUUGUAUCUAUUUUAAGUAAUAUAUGUAAGACUUGAAAAUAAAUGUUUUAUUAUAAUUUCUUAUAUGAAGUGUUAAAUUAAUUGAUACCAGAUACCACUGGAACAUUUAUCAACUGAUAAUUUAUCUCAAAGAACAUAAUCUGUAAUCUUGACAUUUAAAAGUGAACAUUUGUAAUUCGGAAUUUCUUUAUUUCUGAAACCAAGUUUGUAAAUGUCCUUUGGAGGAAGGAGAUAUGAAUUUUAUCAAUAAAUCAAGUCUUGUCUACCUGGA
rnacentral:lncRNA from 1 species